AUUCGGCUUAAGCCGAUGGAAGUUUUGAGGCAAUAACAGGUUCUGUGAUGCCCUUAAUUGUUCUGGGCCGCACGCGCGCUACACUGACGGAGCCAGCGAGUACUUCCUUGGCCGAAAGGCCCGGGUAAUCUUGUGAAACUCCGUCGUGCUGGGGAUAGAGCAUUGCAAUUAUUGCUCUUCAACGAGGAAUCCCUAGUAAGCGCAAGUCAUCAGCUUGCGUUGAUUACGUCCCUGCCCUUUGUACACACCGCCCGUCGCUACUACCGAUUGAAUGGCUCGGCCCGUGCCCCCGCCCCGC
rnacentral:rRNA from 1 species